rnacentral:rRNA from 1 species
UACGUAGGGUGCAAGCGUUGUCCGGAAUUAUUGGGCGUAAAGAGCUCGUAGGCGGUCUGUCGCGUCGGCUGUGAAAACCUGGGGCUCAACUCCGGGCCUGCAGCCGAUACGGGCAGACUAGAAUUCGGUAGGGGAGACUGGAAUUCCUGGUGUAGCGGUGAAAUGCGCAGAUAUCAGGAGGAACACCGGUGGCGAAGGCGGGUCUCUGGGCCGAUACUGACGCUGAGGAGCGAAAGCGUGGGGAGCGAACAGG